rnacentral:rRNA from 1 species
CUUUUGCUGGCGACCGGCGCACGGGUGAGUAACACGUAUCCAACCUGCCCUUUACUCGGGGAUAGCCUUUCGAAAGAAAGAUUAAUACCCGAUAGCAUAAUGAUUCCGCAUGGUUUCAUUAUUAAAGGAUUCCGGUAAAGGAUGGGGAUGCGUUCCAUUAGGUUGUUGGUGAGGUAACGGCUCACCAAGCCUUCGAUGGAUAGGGGUUCUGAGAGAAAGGUCCCCCACAUUGGAACUGAGACACGGUCCAA